rnacentral:sRNA from 1 species
AAGCCAUAGACUCAUACAGACUUUGGCUACACCAUGAAAGCUUUGAGAAGCUAGAAGAAGGUUGGUUAGUGUUUUGGAGUCGAAUAUGACUUGAUGUCAUGUGUAUGAUUGAGUAUAAGAACUAAAACCGCAACCGGAUCUUAAAGGCAUAAGAAUUGUAUCCUUGUUAGAAGACACAAAGCAAAAGACUCAUAUGGACUUUGGCUACACCGUGUAAGCUUUGAGAAGCAAGAAGAAGGUUGGUUAGUGUUUUGGAAUCGAAU